GACCACUCUCCCCGCCGCUUUACGGGGCGGAGUCAAGGCCAUACGGACAGCCGGGUCCACUGCCGA
rnacentral:sRNA from 1 species